rnacentral:rRNA from 1 species
AACGAACGCUGGCGGCAUGCCUAACGCAUGCAAGUCGAACGAGACCUUCGGGUCUAGUGGCGCACGGGUGCGUAACGCGUGGGAACCUGCCCUUAGGUUCGGAAUAACUCCCCGAAAGGGGUGCUAAUACCGGAUAAUGUCUUCGGACCAAAGAUUUAUCGCCUUUGGAUGGGCCCGCGUUGGAUUAGCUAGUUGGUAGGGUAAAAGCCUACCAAGGCGACGUUCCAUAGCUGGUCUGAGAGGAUGAUCAGCCACACUGGGACUGAGACACGGCCCAGACUCCUACGGGAGGCAGCAGUGGGGAAUAUUGGACAAUGGGCGAAAGCCUGAUCCAGCAAUGCCGCGUGAGUGAUGAAGGCCUUAGGGUUGUAAAGCCCUUUUACCCGGGAUGAUAAUGACAGUACCGGGAGAAUAAGCUCCGGCUAACUCCGUG